rnacentral:lncRNA from 1 species
ACUCACUUUGAUCAAAGGCUUUCUAAACUCAGUCUUGUAAAUCGCAUAGGACUUCUUUUUUCUAUCAAGAUCGAUAAAUUCUAUCUAGAUGCAUCCUACUUCAAACAGUGAACCUGAACCUACUGAAGCCAACAUACACAGCAAAAAUUCGAAUGGUUAGGGACCAAGGGAAUGUAUAGUCAAAUCCAGUAGCCUUGCUAUGAAUAGCCAAUGAUCCCGUAGGUCAAAAGAUCACUCACAUCACUAC